AAAAAAAAAAAAACGUGUCAUGGAGGGACACACACACACACGUUUUGUUUCUAACGUGCCAUACGGUCACGGAAGGCCCACCCUCACCCCCUCCUGCCGCUGCCUGCACCUCCUGAUCCCCCCCACCACCAGGGAGAGGCUCCUGAUCUGCAGUGCUGUAUGGUAAACAGGAACGCUUUCCUUGGAAGGAGGAAUUUCCCCCAGCAGUCCCCUAGAUCAGUAAUAGUGGCGGUAAUGAGCUGCAGCUGUCACAAUGCCUUCCGCUCCUCGUCCCUGAUUCAUGUUCCUGCUGCACACCAUCUACAACUGGAACAAAUGUUUACCCCAAUGAGAAACAGACAAACACUGCCCAGCGCACACAUCCUAACACACUAACUAAUGGCCGCAGCCCUGUUUUAGCUCUUUUAAUAAUGCAAGCUAGCUAUGAGAUGCAGACGCCCAGGGGAAAUAGCGGUGACCAUUAAACGGGAUACUUUCUAGGUGUAUAAUAUAUAACAUAUAAUAAUCUCAGCACCAAAAGAGAAACAUAUUUUAGAACAGAAAUAGAUAGAGUGCAAAUGGACAGAUUGGAAUGGAACAGAAUGCAAUAGAAUAGAAAGUCAUAGAGCAGCAGGGUAUCGAGUAGCAUAGAAUACGUGCAGAAUAUUAUGGAACAGAAGAUAUAUAAUAUAAUGUUAGGAUACAGAAUAGAAUAGAAUAGAAUAGAAU